UGAGGUCACCAACAUCUACAACAAUGGCAGUUACCAGCUGGUUUACCAGAACUGCACCCCUCUUUUCGUCCAGACCAAACAGACACAUCCGAUGGGGAGGCGAGAUGGGGGGAGACGAGGUGGAGAGAGGAGAGGGGGAGAGAGAAGAAGAGGUGAGAGACGAGGAGGGGAGAGAAGAGGAGGAGAGAGUCAAGGGGGAACGAUGGACAGAGGAACAAGAGACAGACAAAGCCCUGCCUCCAAUGACAAUAACACUGAAACAGCUAUCUACCUGGAGAUCAUCUGAGUUCAUCUCUCAGUGAGGUAUGUCAUGGAUAGCUCUGGUCCAGAUCGUUAGCACUUAACGGCUUGGACUACAGCUAUGUCAUGGAGUGGAAGAAAGCUCUUGCAGUGUAUAACAAUACAAGCACGAACAUACUGCUUGACUGAUGAAGAUAAUGGCACAAUGAUAUCAUAUCCAUUUGAUAUCAUUUUGCAUGAUUAUACAUACUGUUAUGCAAAAUUAUACAAAAUGGGUUAAGUGGCACAUUAAGAUGAUCCUUCUCUCCUUUAAAAUGAUAUAUACAGUUGAAGUCAGAAGUUGACAUAAACCUUUGCCAAAAACAUUUAAACUCAGUUUUUCAAUAUUCCUGACUUUUUAUCCUAGUAAAAAUUCCCUGUCUUAGGUCAGUUAGGAUCACCACUUUACUUUAAGAAUGUGAAAUCUCAGAAUAAUAGUAGAAAGAAUGAUUUAUUUCAGCUUUUAUUUCUUUCAUCACAUUCCCUGUGGGUCAGAAGUUUACAUACACAUACAAUUAGUAUUUGGUAGCAUUGCCUUAAAAUAGUUUAACUUGGUUCAAACACUUUGGGUCGUGUUCCACAAGCUUCCCACAAUAAGUUGGGUGAAUUUUGGUCCAUUCCUCCUGACAGAGCUGGUGUAACUGAGUCAGGUUUGUGUGCCUCCUUGCUCGCACACGCUUUUUCAGUUCUGCCCACACAUUUUCUAUUGGAUUGAGGUCAGGCUUUGUGAUGGCCUCUCCAAUACCUUGACUUUGUUGUCCUUAAGCCAUUUUGCCACAACUUUGGAAGUAUGCUUGGGUUCAUUGUCCAUUUGGAAGACCCAUUUGCGACCAAGCUUUAACAUUCUGACUGGUGUCUUGAUAUGUUGCUUCAAUAUAUCCACAUAAUUUUCCACCCUCAUGAUGCCAUCUAUUUUCUGAAGUGCACCAGUCCCUCCUGCAGCAAAGCACCCCCACAACAUGAUGCUGCCACCCCGUGCUUCACGGUUGGGAUGGUGGUCUUCGGCUUGCAAGCCUCCCCCUUUUUCAUCCAAACAUAACAAUGGUCAUUAUGGCCAAACAGUUCUAUUUUUGUUUCAUCAGACCAGAGGACAUUUCUCCAAAAAUGAUGAUCUUUGCCCCCAUGUGCAGUUGCAAACCGUAGUCUGGCUUUUUUAUGGCGGUUUUGGAGCAGUGGCUUCUUCCUUUCUGAGCGGACCUAUCAGGUUUAUGUCAAUAUAGGACUUAUUUUACUGUGGAUAUAGAUACUUUUGUACCCUUUUCCUCCAGCAUCUUCACAAGGUCCUUUGCUGUUGUUCUGGGAUUGAUUUGCACUUUUCGCACCAAAGUACGUUCAUCUCUAGGAGACAGAACCUCAGAACCCCAGAACCCCAGUUUGAAGGUAGGCCUUGAAAUACAUCCACAGGUAUACCUCCAAUUGAUUCAAAUUAUGUCAAUUAGCCUAUCAGAACUUCUAAAGCCAUGACAUAAUUUUCAGGAAUUUUCCAAGCUGUUUAAAGGCACAGUCAACUUAGUGUAUGUUAACUUCUGACCCACUGGAAUUGUGAUAAAGUGAAUUAUAAGUUAAAUAAUCUGUCUGUAAACAAUUUUUGAAAAAUUACUUGUGUAAUGCACAAAGUACAUUGGGGCAAAAAAGUAUUUAGUCAGCCACCAAUUGUGCAAGUUCUCCCACUUAAAAAGAUGAGAGAGGCCUGUAAUUAUCAUCAUAGGCACACUUCAACUAUGACAGACAAAAGGAGAAAAAAAAAUCCAGAAAAUCACAUUGUAGGAUUUUUAAUGAAUUUAUUUGCAAAUUAUGGUGGAAAAUAAGUAUUUGGUCAAUAACAAAAGUUUAUCUCAAUACUUUGUUAUAUACCCUUUGUUGGCAAUGACAGAGGCCAAACGUUUUCUGUAAGUCUUCACAAGGUUUUCACACACUGUUGCUGGUAUUUUGGCCCAUUCCUCCAUGCAGAUCUCCUCUAGAGCAGUGAUGUUUUGAGGCUGUUGCUAGGCAACACAGACUUUCAACUCCCUCCAAAGAUUUUCUAUGGGGUUGAGAUCUGGAGACUGGCUAGGCCACUCCAGGACCUUGAAAUGCUUCUUACGAAGCCACUCCUUCGUUGCCCAGGCGGUGUGUUUGGGAUCAUUGUCAUGCUGAAAGACCCAGACACGUUUCAUCUUCAAUGCCCUUACUGAUGGAAGGAGGUUUUCACUCAAAAUCUCACGAUACAUGGCCCCAUUCAUUCUUUCGUUUAAACGGAUCAGUCAUCCUGGUCCCUUUGCAGAAAAACAGCCCCAAAGCAUGUUGUUUCCACCCCCAUGCUUCACAACUCAGCAUUCUUUUGUUACUUUGUUACUUUGGUCCCAGCUCUCUACAGGUCAUUCACUAGGUCCUCCUGUGUGGUUCUGGGAUUUUUGCUCACCGUUCUUGUGAUCAUUUUGACCCCACGGGGUGAGAUCGUGCGAGGAACCCCAGAUCGAGGGAGAUUAUCAGUGGUCUUGUAUGUCUUCCAUUUCCUAAUAAUUGCUCCCACAGUUGAUUUCUUCAAACCAAGCUGCUUACCUAUUGCAGAUUCAGUCUUCCCAGUCGCCUCUUCAAUGUUGACAUUGAGACUGGUGUUUUGCAGGUACUAUUUAAUGAAGCUGCCAGUUGACAACUGGUGAGGUAUCUGUUUCUCAAACUAGACACUCUAAUGUACUUGUCCUCUUGCUCAGUUGUGCACCGGGGACUCCCACUCCUCUUUCUAUUCUGGUUAGAGCCAAUUUGCACUGUUCCAUGAAGGGAGUAGUACACGGCGUUGUACAAGAUCUUCAGUUUCUUGGCAAUGUCUCACAUGGAAUAGCCUUCAUUUCUCAGAACAAGAAGAGACUGACGAGUUUCAGAAAAAAGUUAUUUGUUUCUGGACAUUUUGAGCCUGUAAUCGAACCGACAAAUGCCGAUGCUCCAGAUACUCAACUAAUCUAAAGAAGGCCAGUUUUAUUGCUUCUUUAAUCCAAACAACAGUUUUCAGCUGUGCUAACACAAUUGCAAAUGGUUUUCUAAUGAUCAAUUUGCCUUUUAAAAUUAUAUUAUUGGAUUAGCUAACACAACGUGUCAUUGGAACACAGGAGUGAUGGUUGCGAUAAUGGGCCUCUGUACGCCUAUGUAGAUAUUCCAUUAAAAAUCAGUUGUUUCCAGCUACAAUAGUCAUUUACAACAUUAACAAUGUUUACACUGUAUUUCUGAUCAAUUUUCUGUUAUUUUAAUGGACAAAAAAUGUGAUUUUCUUUCAAAAACAAGGACAUUUCUAAAUGACCCCAAACUUUUGAACGGUAGUGUAUAUAUAUAAAUAUAUUUUGUGUACAUAAUUGUAGGCUUAGCAGUCCUAGCUACUUCAUUAGUGUACAUACAGUGCCUUGCAAAGAUUUUCAUCCCCCUUGGAGUUGUUCCUAUUUUGUUGCAUUACAACCUGUAACCUUUUUUUAAAUGACUUUUUCAGGAAAGUUGAAAGAAUGAAAAAUGAAAAAGGGGUGUGUGCAUAUGUAUUCACCCCCUUUGCCAUGAAGCCCCUAAAUAAGAUCUGUUGCAACCAAUUACUUUCAGAAGUCACAUAAUUAGUGAAAUAAAGUCCACCUGUGUGCAAUCUAUGUGUCACAUGAUCAGUCACAUGAUCUCAGUAUAUAUACACCUGUUCUGAAAGGCCCCAAAGUCUAGCCUCGGGGGAUGCCUUGCUUGACCACACCCUCCUUCCUUGCUCCUGCCCUGCCCUGCCCUGCCCUGCCCUGCCCUGCCCUGCCCUGCCCUGCCCUGCCCUGCCCUGCCCUGCCCUGCCCUGCCCUGCCCUGCCCUGCCCUGCCCUGCCCUGCCCUGCCCUGCCUCUUCCACCAAUCCAAUUGUUUUUUUAUGGACAGAAAAGAGCAGAGGCUCUGAGCUGUCUGAUCAGAUCCAUUGUCUACUGAGCCCCAUAGUCUGCAACACCACUAAGCAAGGGGCACCACCAAGCAAGCGGCACUAUGAAGACCAAGGAGCUCUCCAAACAGGUCAGGGACAAAGUUGUGGAGAAGUACAGAUUAGGGUUGGGUUAUUAAAAAAAUAUCCAAAACUUUGAACAUCCCACGGAGCAUCAUUAAAUCCAUUACUAAAAAAUGGAAAUAAUAUGGCACCACAACAAACCUGCCAAGAGAGUGCUACCCACCAAAACUGAGGGACCGGGUCUAGGAGCUGCAGAGCUGCAAAACUCCACAGAGGAGCUUGGAGUAUCUGUCCAUAGGACCACUUUAAGCCGUACACUCCACAGAGCUGGGCUUUAUGGAAGAGUGGCCAGAAGAAAUGCCAUUUAAGGGGGUUUGAGGGGAAACAUUUAAAUGUCUUGGAAUGUCUUAGUCAAAGCCCAGACAUCAAUCCAAUUGAGAAUCUGUGGUAUGACUUAAAGAUUGCUGUACACCAGUAGAACCCAUCCAACUUGAAGGAGCUGGAGCAGUUUUGCCUUGAAGAAUGGGCAAAAAUCCCAGUGGCUAGAUUUACCAAGUGUAUAGAGACAUACCCCAAGAGACUUGCAGUUGUCAUUUCUGCAAAAGGUGUCUCUACAAAGUAUGAAUUCUUUGUCUUAUUUCUUGUUUGUUUCACAAUAUAAAAAAUAUAUUUUGCAUCUUCAAAGUGGUAGGCAUGUUGUGUAAAUCAAAUGAUACGAACCCCCCAAAAUUGUAAGGCAUCCAGGUUGUAAGGCAACAAAAUAGGAAAAAUGCCAAGGUGGUGAAUACUUUUGCAAGCCACUGUAGUUUGUGGCUGAUGAAGAUAAUGGUCCACACAUGAUAUUAACCUAUUUCAUGCAGUACAUUUUGCAUCAUUACAUGUAUAAUGUCUGUAUAAUGAUAUUCUAGAUGGGAUGAACAUGAUUGUAUGAUGUGAUGAUGAUAAAGGUGUUGGACACACCUCUCUUAUUAAACAAUCACUUUUGCAUGUGUUUUAUAUAAAUGUGCCUCUCUUCACCUCCCAUCCUGACCUUGUACUCAAGAGGAUUGAUGGUUACUAAACCAAAAGCCAUUCUUCACUACAUAAAAAAGCUAUUUCAUAUUCUUCCAUAUGUAUGUUCUCGUUCUAUAUUCAUGUGACAAAAUAAAGCUUUUUUCUGUGC
ensembl:lncRNA